UUAAGAAGGGAUAAAAUACUGAGCUCAGAACUUGGGUGCUUCAUCCAACACUUACAACAAACUGGCAGCAGGAGAGGCGGUGGAGUCUGCCUUCUGACCUUCAUUUUCCUGCCUUCCUUUAGAGUUCCAAUCACUCUUCCUUUCUUGAGAUUUCUUAUCUGCAGGUUGAUAGACCAGAGGCUAAUGAUUCUGAGAAGUCAGCAGAGAGGUCGUUGCCCCAUGGAGUCUCCCACUGCUGUUGCAUGAGAGGUGGAGGUCAAGAGGCCCACUGGAGCCUUGGAGAAGUGGCUUCCAGGACAAGUAUGGAGAAGUGGAUUUAUCUGGCACAAAGGGAAGAAAGUGGCAGUCACCAGUGUGCCAUUCAGAUCUCCAACAGGUUAUCACCCAAAGGGAUGGCAGUUAUUGAACAGCCUCCAGUUGCAGGUGCCUCCGGAUCUUCCUUCAGCUUUUAAGUCAAGAAGCUGAGAUCAUAUUCUUUCUGGGCAAUCCAAGGCCAAUGACUGAGCACAGUGUUGGUAUAGGGUUCAUCCUUCUAAGCUAGUAUGGGACUCCUCUAUGGGCAAUCUUGAUGCAGGAGCUCCCUGAUAAGUUGGUUGAAACUUUCUCAUAACUAGAACACAGUCUGAAACUCUUCCUAUCUUUGUCUUUCUUCUCUUUAUCAUAGGCAUUACCUCCAAUUAUUUGUAUUUUUAACUCCUUCUUGGGUUCUUCUUCCCAAAGGACCUAUUGUCACAGGCUUGUAAAUACGAUCACCAUUGAAGAUGAGUAUAUAGGCUUAAAUAAAGCAACUCACUUCAAGUCA